rnacentral:rRNA from 1 species
AGCGAACGCUGGCGGCAGGCCUAACACAUGCAAGUCGAACGGACCCUUCGGGGUUAGUGGCGGACGGGUGAGUAACACGUGGGAACGUGCCUUUAGGUUCGGAAUAGCUCCUGGAAACGGGUGGUAAUGCCGAAUGUGCCCUUCGGGGGAAGGAUUUAUCGCCUUUAGAGCGGCCCGCGUCUGAUUAGCUAGUUGGUGAGGUAACGGCUCACCAAGGCGACGAUCAGUAGCUGGUCUGAGAGGAUGACCAGCCACACUGGGACUGAGGCACGGCCCAGACUCCUACGGGAGGCAGCAGUGGGGAAUCUUGCGCAAUGGGCGAAAGCCUGACGCAGCCAUGCCGCGUGAAUGAUGAAGGUCUUAGGAUUGUAAAAUUCUUUCACCGGGGACGAUAAUGACGGUACCCGGAGAAGAAGCCCCGGCUAACUUCGUGCCAGCCGCCGCCGUAA